UGUAACAGGGUCUUUGAGCCACUAUAUUCAGGCCCAAUCCCAUGUUGUAGAGUAUACUUUCAUUUUCUUUUCUUUUUUUUUUUUUGAGACAGAGUUUCACUCUUGUUGCCCAGGCUGGAGUGCAAUGGUGCGAUCCCGGCUCACCUCAAUCUCCGCCUCCUGGGUUCAAGUGACUCUCCUGCCUCAACCUCCGGAGUAGCUGGGAUUACAGUCAUGAGCCAACACGCCCGGCUAAUGCUGUAUUUUUAGUAGAGAUGGGGUUUCACCAUGUUGGUCAGGCUGGUCUCGAACCCCCAACCUUAGGUGAUCCGCCUGCCUUGGCCUCCCAAAGUGCUAGGAUUACAGGUGUGAGCCACCACGCCUGGCCAAAAAAAAGAAAUCCCUUCAUUCCUUCCUUGCUUUGUGCGUUUUGUCCAAUUAUUUGUUCAAGAUGCCAAGAACCUGGACACUCUCCACCAUUACCAUACUUUGGUGAGCCAGCCCGGAGGAAGAGUCAAGCAGGGUCACCAGGACCGCUCAGGGAGAGAGAACCCAGAAACCUAGCAUGCCAGCAAAAGGAUGGAUCAGAGGGCCCCUGAAUCAUCCAGAAAAGAGUGUAUUUUCACAGGUAAAGAAAGCUUUUUAUGGUUUAAAUCUUCUGGAAACAUUAGAGAAAGACUGUCAUUGCUAUCCACACUACAACAAAACUUCAUCCACACUACAGCAAGACUUUGGGCUUUGGAUUCAUGGCCUCAAAACUGAGAAGGGUCCCUCCACAUUUUUGGAACUGUGCACCCAUUGGAACCCUUGAGGGAAAGCUAACCAGGGAAAUUUGAAGAGGAUGCCAUCCUUGAUGGGAACAGCUUUUCCCAAGGUCACAGAUUAAGACUUAUAUUGUCAUGAAAAUCUUACCUUUGAAUUUUGUUGUUGUUGUUUUUUGUUUGUUUGUUUUUGUUUAUGCCUCUAUGAACAAGAGAAGUGGAAAAGGGGUCUGUUAUGUGCACUAAUGGGGUGUACUUUUAUUUGUGAAGGAGUUGGCAGGCAGCCUUAUACAUGGAUUACCUUAUACUCUGAUAGUUAAAAGAUGAAGGCCCAAUGUAGGUAAGAAACUUUAAGGGUACAUAUGUUACCUCAUAAUCAGUCAAAAACAAAACAUUGGUUCACUCCUCUUAACCCACAUCAUGGGUUAAAGAGAACAUUCCCAGAAGGCCUUCACUCUUCUAAAAGGCAUCAUUUGUUAGGUCCUUUUUCCAUAAUUUAAAGUAAAAGAAGCAAUGAUUAGAAACGUAUCCCUCAUGAUAGGUUUUAUAGCAAAUUCUACUGUAAACGCUACAGUUACUCAACAAACUUUACAUUCUCUUGUGAAAGUUAUGCUAAAUAAUAGAAUUAGCUAAACAGAAAAGUAUCUGUGCAGCUGCUGGCACUUGUGGCCUAUGGAGAAAUAUAUCAAAUAAAGAUUAUAGAAAUUUGGUGGUAGGGGAUUGACAAAAAAAUUGCUUAGCCAAGUGAGUAAACUCUUUAUCUAGCUCAUUCUUUGAUCUAUUUGAUUGCAGGCGGUUUGGUUUAUGGGAACCUUCGGUAAAGGGCACACUUCAAAUUCUUGGUAUGAUCCUCCCAAUAAUCAUAAUAAUAGUCUCCCUGGUGCGUUGUAUUCUCUCAAAGGUUUUAAAUGCUUGCAUGCAGCCAUCUCUAGAAUGUCAUAUGGUCUCUCUUCAACUGGAAUAACAGGAGCUGAAAGAAACGUGCAGCAAUGAGGGCACCAUAACCUAUAAAUAAUGUGCUGAGGCCGGAAACCCAAAAUGGUGGAACUGAGAGUGGCGCUAAAGCCCUAAGUUUUGUUCAUACUCUCAACUAAGUGAGAACCUGUUCAAAAAGGGGGAAUUUUUUUAAACAAAAUUCUGGGAGGCCAUUGUUGUGGACUGAGCUCAUUUACUAGGCGCCAACAAACCAAACCAAAAUGGAGUCGCUUGUGCUAAGACUGUAAGAAAACACAGAUUCUAGAACAAACCAGGUUUUGUUCUUUCUCCUGCAAAUCUUUACAACAAACAUUUCUGGUAGCAUAGGUAUCAACCCUCUGAAGUUCCCACUACAUCUUUUGACCAAGUUCAUUUCCUCUCACCUAGAGAUCAUCAAGCUUCAGCUAAUCACACAACAAUGGUUCCAGCUAGUUCCAGGUGAAGAUACCACCCCUGGCCAUGCCUCACUAGACAGAACAGGGUGAGAGUUCUGUGGUCCCCAAUAGGUAGGACUAUGUCCCAAGUCAGCAUGAAGCAGUUACAGAAAUCAGUCUCUCCGCCUCCCAUAAAGAUUUAUGGGGAUCACAUCUCUCAGGGGUAGAUGAGGCAGGAAAAUAGGAUCUGGAGGCAGAGAACAUAAGGCUGAUUCACACUUCAGCUAUAACAAGAAAUAUCCUCUCUAUAGGGCGUACACAGUAAAUGACUUUGUAACUUUACUUCAUCCUCUUCAUUUACAUAGGGUGUGCCCCAGAUGGAGGGUAUUUAAACUCACAAAAACUCUGUAACAGAGUUUUUGAGUCCCUAUGCUCAGGCCUGCUCCCAUACUGUGGGGUGUACUUUCAUUUUCAAUAAAUCCCUUCA
rnacentral:lncRNA from 1 species